GUUUCCGUGGUGUAGUGGUUAUCACUUCCGUCUUACACGCGAAAGGCACCCGGUGCGAAACCGGGCGGAAACA